UACAGAGGUCUCAAGCGUUGUUCGGAUUCAUUGGGCGUAAAGGGCGUGUAGGUGGCGCCGUAAGUCGGGUGUGAAAUUUCGGAGCUUAACUCCGAAACUGCAUUCGAUACUGCGGUGCUUGAGGACUGGAGAGGAGACUGGAAUUCAUGGUGUAGCAGUGAAAUGCGUAGAGAUCAUGAGGAAGACCAGUGGCGAAGGCGGGUCUCUGGACAGUUCCUGACACUGAGGCACGAAGGCCAGGGGAGCAAACGGG
rnacentral:rRNA from 1 species